UGAGGAACAUGACCUUCGGCGGGGGAUAGCCGGCCCAACGGCCGGGUAAUACCGCGUACGACCACAUGGGGACAUCCCUGAGUGGUGAAAGCAGCAAUGCGCCGAUGGAGAACUUCGCGGCCUAUCAGCUUGUUGGUGAGGUAAUGGCUCACCAAGGCGACGACGGGUAGCCGGCCUGAGAGGGCGAUCGGCCACACUGGGACUGAGACACGGCCCAGACUCCUACGGGAGCAG
rnacentral:rRNA from 1 species